UACGUAGGUGGCAAGCGUUGUCCGGAUUUACUGGGCGUAAAGAGCGUGUAGGCGGUCCGGUAAGUCCGCUGUGAAAGUCGGGGGCUCAACCCUCGAAUGCCGGUGGAUACUGUCGGACUAGAGUACAGAAGGGGCAACUGGAAUUCUCGGUGUAGCGGUGAAAUGCGCAGAUAUCAGGAGGAACACCGGUGGCGAAGGCGGCAUCCUGGACCGAAUAUUGACGCUGAGGAGCGAAAGCCAGGGGAGCAAACGGG
rnacentral:rRNA from 1 species